rnacentral:lncRNA from 1 species
GGGAUUAUGUGAUUCUUUUCCUUCUUUGAAUGGUGACCCUAGUAUUAUACAAACCCCUCCCUAAUUCCCCCUAAGAGAAUCUUGGAAUCACUCUCUCUCACCCGCACUUAUUCUAUUCUGGUUCUCUGAAAACUAUCAUGUUUGAUUUGUUUCUUGACAGGCUGAAAGCCAAGACCACCGUUGAAUCAAUAACCUCCUCCGAUACAAGCACUGCUCGGAGACCUUUUGAGGCUCUUGUGAACUCUAAAGCACCAGAAACUUGGGAUUCUCACUAUUCUCCUUCUAUUGCUGCUACUCAGUUACUGCUGAAACUCUAAUUUUCUCAUUCUUUUGCUCGUUUAUCUUCACAACUGGUUAGUGCUCUUGACUCUUAUAGGUUUAAUUGUUGUUUCUCUACCUGUUCGUGUUUGUGUGCAUUCUUUGUGUCACUACCAUCAAAUAGAAGAGCAUGGCUUAGGCUUCUUUGCAAUUUGUGAAUCAUGUGUGGUAUUUUGUUGAAUGUUUUACUGCAAUUCAUGGCCAAAAUACUGUUUUGAGGAUCUAUGUCCAUUAAUAUCAAGUCUAAUACUUUUGAAAUAAUCCUUGUUACACACACUUGUUCCUGCUACAGAAUCUCUAACCUCUUUGGAAUUAGGUAGUACCUCAUAUUAACCUAUCAUACUUAUUGAACUAUGUUCAUGACCCUGGUUUCCCUGAACUUUCAUAUUAAGUCUUUCUGUAAGGACCUCUGCUUGUUAUCUUCUUAAGAUUAUUUUUUUUAUUAUGUCUUGCCUUAGAUUUUCAUGCUGAAGUCUUCCCUGUGAAAACUAUUAUUGUUAUCUUCUCAGAAUUAUCCCCUGAACAUGUUUUCCAUCUUAGAUUUCAUGCUAAGUCCCUCAUGUAUGAGCUGUUAUUUUUCACCUUCUCAAAAUUAGUUUUGAACCAUGUUUUGUCUUAGGUUUUCAUGUUAAAGGCUAUCCAGUAUGAGCUUUGUUUAGCUAUCUUCUCAGAAUUGGAUCAUGACAAUGUUUCCCUUGAAUUUUCAUGAUAAGUCUUUCCCGUGAGGAACCCCUGUUUGUUAUGCUUUUUGUGAUUAACUCCUGACUACUCUAGGAUGUUUAUCUUUGUGAUGUUGUCACUUUGAAUUAGUUUUAUGAACCUGUAAGCCAUCAGAUGUGUGUUUGUUCUAACCUAUGUAUUAUGCAUACCCAUUAAUGUAUAUUUCUGUAGGAACUCUUUCAUGAGAUUGUAUGAGGUUAGUAGGCUCUCAAAGGUAUUAUGGUCUUGUUCAUGUGCUCUUUUACCUCUUAGGCAUCAUAUCCCAGGAUGUUAUUUAUGAUUCUUGUUUUUUAUUAAUUGUAACACUAAGAACCCAAUGUGCUUAUGUUAUUGCGUAAACUGGAGGUCGCCCAAAUUACUAGUUUGCACUUGUAAUUUUUUGUAUUCCUGUUGGUUGUUAAUAAUAAUGGGUAAACAAGGUAGUUGCUUAUGUGUUUUAGGCAUAGUCUAUUGGGCCAGGUUUGGUAUUGGGUCUGAAGUACACUGUCACCAUGGACUUUGCACUUGGAGUUUGGGCCUGCCGUCCGCAUGAAGUUCUAAGUCUAUUUGAAGGUCCAGAUGUCUUACUGGGAUAUUUUGUAUUUG